AUCCGGAAAAUCAAGGCUGAGGCGUGAUGACGAGGCACUACGGUGCUGAAGCAACAAAUGCCCUGCUUCCAGGAAAAGCCUCUAAGCAUCAGGUAACAUCAAAUCGUACCCCAAACCGACACAGGUGGUCAGGUAGAGAAUACCAAGGCGCUUGAGAGAACUCGGGUGAAGGAACUAGGCAAAAUGGUGCCGUAACUUCGGGAGAAGGCACGCUGAUAUGUAGGUGAAGCGACUUGCUCGUGGAGCUGAAAUCAGUCGAAGAUACCAGCUGGCUGCAACUGUUUAUUAAAAACACAGCACUGUGCAAACACGAAAGUGGACGUAUACGGUGUGACGCCUGCCCGGUGCCGGAAGGUUAAUUGAUGGGGUCAGCGCAAGCGAAGCUCUUGAUCGAAGCCCCGGUAAACGGCGGCCGUAACUAUAACGGUCCUAAGGUAGCGAAAUUCCUUGUCGGGUAAGUUCCGACCUGCACGAAUGGCGUAAUGAUGGCCAGGCUGUCUCCACCCGAGACUCAGUGAAAUUGAACUCGCUGUGAAGAUGCAGUGUACCCGCGGCAAGACGGAAAGACCCCGUGAACCUUUACUAUAGCUUGACACUGAACAUUGAGCCUUGAUGUGUAGGAUAGGUGGGAGGCUUAGAAGUGUGGACGCCAGUCUGCAUGGAGCCGACCUUGAAAUACCACCCUUUAAUGUUUGAUGUUCUAACGUUGACCCGUAAUCCGGGUUGCGGACAGUGUCUGGUGGGUAGUUUGACUGGGGCGGUCUCCUCCUAAAGAGUAACGGAGGAGCACGAAGGUUGGCUAAUCCUGGUCGGACAUCAGGAGGUUAGUGCAAUGGCAUAAGCCAGCUUGACUGCGAGCGUGACGGCGCGAGCAGGUGCGAAAGCAGGUCAUAGUGAUCCGGUGGUUCUGAAUGGAAGGGCCAUCGCUCAACGGAUAAAAGGUACUCCGGGGAUAACAGGCUGAUACCGCCCAAGAGUUCAUAUCGACGGCGGUGUUUGGCACCUCGAUGUCGGCUCAUCACAUCCUGGGGCUGAAGUAGGUCCCAAGGGUAUGGCUGUUCGCCAUUUAAAGUGGUACGCGAGCUGGGUUUAGAACGUCGUGAGACAGUUCGGUCCCUAUCUGCCGUGGGCGCUGGAGAACUGAGGGGGGCUGCUCCUAGUACGAGAGGACCGGAGUGGACGCAUCACUGGUGUUCGGGUUGUCAUGCCAAUGGCACUGCCCGGUAGCUAAAUGCGGAAGAGAUAAGUGCUGAAAGCAUCUAAGCACGAAACUUGCCCCGAGAUGAGUUCUCCCUGACUCCUUGAGAGUCCUGAAGGAACGUUGAAGACGACGACGUUGAUAGGCCGGGUGUGUAAGCGCAGCGAUGCGUUGAGCUAACCGGUACUAAUGAACCGUGAGG
rnacentral:rRNA from 1 species